rnacentral:rRNA from 1 species
UGAGGAAUAUUGGUCAAUGGACGCAAGUCUGAACCAGCCAAGUAGCGUGCAGGAUGACGGCCCUAUGGGUUGUAAACUGCUUUUAUAUGGGGAUAAAGUGGGGAACGUGUUCCCUUUUGCAGGUACCAUAUGAAUAAGGACCGGCUAAUUCCGUGCCAGCAGCCGCGGUAAUACGGAAGGUUCGGGCGUUAUCCGGAUUUAUUGGGUUUAAAGGGAGCGUAGGCCGUUUGGUAAGCGUGUUGUGAAAUGUAGGAGCUCAACUUCUAGAUUGCAGCGCGAACUGUCAGACUUGAGUGCGCACAACGUAGGCGGAAUUCAUGGUGUAGCGGUGAAAUGCUUAGAUAUCAUGAAGAACUCCGAUUGCGAAGGCAGCUUACGGGAGCGCAACUGACGCUGAAGCUCGAAGGUGCGGGUAUCGAACAGGAUUAGAUACCCUGGUAGUCCGCACAGUAAACGAUGGAUGCCCGCUGUUAGCACCUAGUGUUAGCGGCUAAGCGAAAGCAUUAAGCAUCCCACCUGGGGAGUACGCCGGCAGACGGUG